UACAGAGGGGGCAAGCGUUAUUCGGAAUUAUUGGGCGUAAAGGGCGCGUAGGCGGCCUGACAAGUGGAAGGUGAAAUCCCUCGGCUUAACCGAGGAACUGCCCUCCAAACUGUCUGGCUUGAGACCGGGAGAGGUGAGUGGAAUUCCCAGUGUAGCGGUGAAAUGCGUAGAUAUUGGGAGGAACACCAGUGGCGAAGGCGGCUCACUGGACCGGUACUGACGCUGAUGCACGAAAGCGUGGGGAGCAAACGGG
rnacentral:rRNA from 1 species